UACGUAGGGGGCAAGCGUUGUCCGGAUUUAUUGGGCGUAAAGAGCGUGUAGGCGGCUGGGUAGGUCCGUUGUGAAAACUCGAGGCUCAACCUCGAGACGCCGAUGGAAACCCUCCAGCUAGAGUCCGGAAGAGGAGAGUGGAAUUCCUAGUGUAGAGGUGAAAUUCGUAGAUAUUAGGAAGAACACCAGUGGCGAAGGCGGCUCACUGGCCCGGUACUGACGCUGAGGCGCGAAAGCGUGGGGAGCAAACAGG
rnacentral:rRNA from 1 species